rnacentral:rRNA from 1 species
UACGUAGGGGCCUAGCGUUGUCCGGAUUUAUUGGGCCUAAAGCAUCCGUAGCCGGUUCUGCAAGUCUUCCGUUAAAUCCACCUGCUUAACAGAUGGGCCGCGGAAGAUACUAUAGAGCUAGGAGGCGGGAGAGGCAAGCGGUACUCGAUGGGUAGGGGUAAAAUCCGUUGAUCCAUUGAAGACCACCAGUGGCGAAGGCGGCUUGCCAGAACGCGCUCGACGGUGAGGGAUGAAAGCUGGGGGAGCAAACCGG